CGGGAAGCAGAGGGAGCGGCGGAGACGCAAAGUUUCAGUCUUCAGCAGGCGGGGUGGCUGCGCCCCGGGGCUGGAGCCCGUUCCCGCCUCUGAGGGGGCGCGGAGCCCUUCAGCAUCGCGGACAGCCGCCGCGCCGCCCGCCUCUCGCAGCAGGGACCGCCGCGCAGACAAUGGCGAGGGUAAAGGAAACUGGACGUGGAAGAGAUGUCUAGGAGAUUGUACUGGAAAUGCAGACAGCCCUUUGUGCAGUCUAUUGAUGGGCAAUCCUGCUUGUGUUCAAAACAAGAGGAGUUUGGUUAUUCAUUUCCCUGGACUCACCAUUUGAGGCAUGGAGCUGAGCACUGAUCAGCACAGUCCAGAGCAAGGGAGACCUCUCUUUAGUUUUCUGUUGGAAUGAAUGGUGAAGUUUGUUUUUCAGCCAUGGUUUGUCACUUUGCAGUCCCCAGCUGCUCCAGAAGGGCUUCACAAGGUUGAGAACAGCUCUGCUUUUCAUCCCUGCAUCACUAGCUCUAGAAAAUGGGCUACUCAGUAACCAUUUCUUCUUCUCUGUGUGAUUCCUUGGCCCAUGACAUUUCUGCACCCGCUUAAGAAGGCUGGAUGAUGCCAGAGGGGCAACCAAGCCAGUCUUCUGUGCUGCAGGGGGAAGAGCUGUACAUGCCAGGUCUGCCUCCCGUGCUGGCUCUCCAAAUCAGGCAGUUCUAGAGUUUCAGGAAUAAUUUUUUCCUUGAGUAAUGGAAGAUUCACACACCAAAUGAUAUAUGUUCCGAUUCUAUAAGUGGUCUUCACAGUUUAUGAGAACUGAUAAUUCAGGUUUUGUGUAAGGAACACGUUCUGAAGCAUCUUCCAUAGGGCUAAGCAGCACUGAACAGUUUAAUGUUCUCUAGUACAUUCCCAGGUCCUUAUUAAUACAAGCAUGAAGCACAUUAUGUCAAAUUGUUCACUUGAGUGCAAUUUCUUUUGAUCUUGUUUAGCAUUUAUAACUAGAACUUAAAAGUCAGGUUGCUUUAGGCAGCUACAGGAGUAUGGUCUGCACUCUUUCCAUGUUAUUUCUCAUUAUGUUUUCUUUCUCCUGCAGUCUAUUCUUUUACUAGCGUCUGACUUUUCUGUUCUUCUAAUUGCAUUCUGCUUAGUGUAUCCUCUGUUCCAUUAACUCUCUUGCUCUCUUUUUGUGCCUGUUACAGACUUUCUAUCAAUUUUAAAGAUCACUGUUAUUGUUUUGGAUUGCAGUGAAAACAAGCAUUGAUAAAUGAAGGAGUGGAUAUGACAGUGGCUGUACAAAUGCUUUCUGUUGCACAGGAAUUAUCUAGUCUUCUGAUUUUCCCAGGAAAUAAAUUACCAUUGUUUUAAAAUAAUGAUACUAAAACAGUGCUUUAUGGUAAUGUCUUCAGAGGAUUGUUUUUAAGUCUGUCUAAACUUAAGACUGAAACUUCACUUUUGGCUCCUAAAUUAAGGUCUAAAUUUCAUUAAUACUCAGUCUCUGGCAGUUUCACCCUAGACAGUUGCCGCAUACCCUACCACAUCAGAAAAUCAUAGUAUUGGUGUCCCUGUGUGAUCGUAGGAAGGCAGUUUUAUAUUUGGUUGAGUUAGAAAAUUUGAUAAAUGUUAUUUUUACAUAUUCAGGAAGAAUUUACAUUGUUUUUAAGUAGUUCAGGAUGUGCUUUCAUUUGAAAGGACAAAAUUGUCUUAUACAUUGCUCACUGGAAUUGAUUAGGAGUGGCAGUCACAAAAAUACUGUGUUGGUCAUACAAAUUUUCAAAUUUCAAAUUUUCAAAUUUUAUCUGAAUUGUCCUUUAUCCAAAUUAAUGAAACAGAUACAGAUACUUUUGUGGACAUGGUCAUUCAAUAAAUCACGAAUAUUAUUUUCUACUAAAUCUUGUGCUGAUAAUCUACCUUGUGGUUAUUAAAAAAUAUUACUUAGAUGCCUUACUUUCCAUUAUUUUGGAUAAAUGAAUAAACGAUAAAAAAUAUUUUGUUAUAUUUAUGUCCAUGUUUGAUCAUGUGUACAAUUCUAGGCUGUGCUACAUCUUUAAUUUAUGUACUUUUUGCCAGAUGAUUUCAUGGGCAUUAGUGUGCCUUCAGAUUGCUACUAUAAUUAGUCACCAUGUGAUCUAGAGCCUAAUAAUCAUAUAUAAAUUCCCUACUAAUUACCCUAUAAUCUACUAUUUGUUGAUUAGAAGAGGGAUGAGUAUUUCUACUAUUAUUAAUCUCAAUUUACAUUAUAAUUAUAAGGUUGUUACAGAUUUUUCUCAUUUAUUCGCUUGACUAUGUUAUGUGGAAUUUUGUUGUGUUAAUAAAAUACUGCCUUUUUAUGUUCAUCCAUUUUAAUCCCUACUCAGCCAGCUUCUCCUUACAUGCACUUCUUGUCUGCGUUGUUCUUGGGCUGGUACACAUGCAGGUCACUACUACAGGUCAUCCUUUGUUUUCUCUGAAAAGUACCCAGGCAAGUUUUGAGGCUUCAGGAUGUAAGUCAACAUUUAUGUGAAAUAGUUACAAUGCUCAUGUCUAGUUUAAAUAUAGGGUGAAACCCUGCCCAUGCUGAAGGAAAAACACAGGAAGCUGUUGCUCUGUGGAUCAAGAAUGUGCACAUACCUGCUCUGAAGUUCAGGAGGAGGCAGGGUGGUUGGAUACUUGGGUGAAGAUGAAAGGGGAAAAGAAUAAGGUUAAUUUACUGGUAAGGAUUUACUAUAAACUGCCAAAAAUGAGGAGUAGGUGGAUGAAGCUGUUUUUGUGUAGCUCUGUAAUGCCUUGAAAUAACAGACUUGUAGUACGUGGCUUUAAUUAAUAUUGUAUCUUUGGAAGAGUAAGUUUGGUUUUCACACAAGGAAUAACAACUUGUCAGAUGGACACAAUGUUUUUAUUUGAAUAAAUGGUUAGUACUUGCAGUUUUAGGUGUGAUUCUAGCUAGCCAGAAAAUACCACAUGAAAAUUCAAAGACAGAAGACAUGUUGGUGUGAUUAAGAUGUAUCUGGGAUUCUAGGAAGAGGAUACAUGGAUGGAAGAGGGGGAUCAAGACUGAUAGAAGCGUAUUUCAACAAAGGAGAUUUAGCAAUUUCAAAGUGCUGUUAGGUAAUGCAUAUCAAGGCAUUUGGGGAUCAAAAAAAAAAAAACCAAAUAUAAAUACAAAAUAGGGAAUCACUCCUGAGGCAGAAGAAUUACAGAAAAGUAUUUUGGAGAUAUUGCAUACAGCAACACAAUAAAUGUAAAUUAACGGUGUGAUGUGGUUAAAAAUGCAAAUUUCAUUCUAGAGGGUAUUAGCAGUUGUGCUAUACAUACCACAGGUAGUAAUUAUUCUGCUUUUUCUAGAUCUAGUGAGACCUCAGCUAAAACGAUGUGUCUAAUUUUAGGAGUUGCUCUGUAUGAAAGAUGUAGGCAAGUGACAAACAGUUCAGUAUAGAGCUAAAAAUGCUAAAAGAUUUAGGCAAUAUGAUCUCUGAGGACAUUUUGAAAGCAUUGAGUUAACUUAGUCUAGAAGAAUAAGACUGUUAAAGGAUAAACCUCCAGUACAUACAGGCUGUUACAUAGUGGUAUUCAGUUAUCUUACAUGUCCACUGGAGGACAAGGACAACAUUGGCUGAAUUUGCAACAGGAGAGGUUUAAGUUGAAUGCAAAAAGAUAAUAUUCAAAACACAUUGAUAAUUAAUAAAAUGAACAAGCUGGCUAGUGUAAAAAUAGUACUUCUGUUAUUUGAGGCUUUGAAAGAGAGUCCAUCCUGGUGUGCAUCAAGAAUAGUGUGGCCAGCAGGACUAGAGAAAUGAUCAUUCCACUGUACUCGGUUCUGGCGAGGCCCCAUCUUGAAUCCUGUGUUCAGAUUUGGGCCCCUCAUGACAAGAAAGACAUUGAGAUGCUGGAGCAAGUUCAGAGAAGGGCAACGAAGCUGGUGAGGGGUCUGGAGCACAAGUCUGGUGAGGAGCGGCUGAGGGAACUGGGGCUGUUCAGCCUGGAGAAAACGGGACUGAGGGGAGACCUUAUCACUUUCUACAACUACCUGAAAGGAGGUCGUAGUGAGGUGCAUGCCAAUCUCUUCUCCCAAGUAGCAAGUGAUAGGGUGGGGGGAAUGGUCUCAAGUUGCUCCAGGGAAGAUUAAGAUUGGAUAUUAGGAAGAAUUUCUCCAU